rnacentral:rRNA from 1 species
AACGAACGCUGGCGGCGUGCCUAACACAUGCAAGUCGUGCGAGAAAGUUCCUUCGGGAGCGAGUAAAGCGGCGCACGGGUGAGUAACACGUAGGUAACCUGCCCCCCAGUCUGGAACAACUAGAGGAAACUCUAGCUAAUGCCGGAUGAGACCACGAUCCCUUCGGGGGUUGCGGCCAAAGAUGGCCUCUACUUGUAAGCUAUCGCUGAGGGAUGGGCCUGCGGCCAUUAGCUUGUUGGUGAGGUAACGGCUCACCAAGGCUGUGAUGGCUAGCUGGUCUGAGAGGAUGACCAGCCACACUGGGACUGAGACACGGCCCAGACUCCUACGGAGGCAGCAGUGGGGAAUAUUGCGCAAUGGCGAAAGCCUGACGCAGCGACGCCGCGUGGGUGAUGAAGGCC